rnacentral:tRNA from 1 species
UCUUCGAUGGUCUAGUGGUGAUGAUUUCCGCUUGUCAACAACACUGUUAUUAGCAAGCGCGGGAGACCGGGGUUCGAUUCCCCGUCGGAGAG